rnacentral:tRNA from 1 species
AGGCCUCAUAGUGAAGUUCACAUCAAAUUGCAAAUUUGGAAAUAUACUUAGUUAGUAUUUUGGCCUU